AGUCAGCCAUCUUAAAGCUUCUUCCCACCAAAUUUUUGAAAUCCUCUUGAACUCUUGUAGCCAAUAAUAGGUCAGGCCUAUUUUUUUAUAUAUCAGGUUUUUGUUUGUUUUUAUUUGAAUAGUGCCUAGGAACUCAGAAUGCUUUUGGAAGCUUUUAAUCUGAGCAAUUGGGUCAUUUUUAGCUGCAUGAGAGGCAAUGCCUAGAUGGUAGACUAGAAGCAGCUCAUGUGCGCUGUUCUCAAAGAAAGGAAACAAAAGGGCUAGUGAACACUAACCCUGCAGGUUGAUCUUCUGAGAAACCAGGUCAGGAUCCAUCAAUGCAGCAGGGGAACACAGAGAGCAAAGGAUCAAAGUUGGUCAACAGCCAGCUUGGACUCAGCAAAGAGCCAGGAGAACCUCUCUAACACGGGGAAGAGUGAGUGAGAUCUCCUAAGGAGAUUCACACUCUGACAAGGACCUGUGCAAGACUAGGAAUGGGAGAAUCCCCCGUCCCCCUGUCCCCCUACUACACUUCUAAGACUGAGGCAGAAAACUGUUGAGACUUUUUCAUGGACAACUUUUAAGUCCAUAGGGACUUCUACAAGCCUUGGGCCCAGAAAAGACCAAUACUUGCACCAUAGCUCCAGUAGAGGCCAAAGUGGCAGUAUCUGGGAACUGUAAGAUUGCUUUCCUUCCCCUUGCUGGAAGAGGCUCAGCACCAGCUUCUAGCCUAGUGGUCCUACUUUGGCUUGAAUUCGGCCAGCCAUUUCACCCACCUUGCCAAUGGUAGCCAAAUUGGAAAUGCCUGAUAUAGCCUUCAGCCUCAUGUUCUCCCUUUUGUGUGAACUCAGCUGGAGGGUGAAGCCUCCUGAUGUUCUAGGAGACAUACUGACAGCAGGGCACAUGACCCCAUCCAGCCACACCACUGAUAGCCAGGAUGUCAGUGCUUGCUAGAGCUUCUGCCCUGGUGAUCUUGCUUUUUUGUGAACUCAGCUGGAUGGUGCCACUUCCUGUUGUCCUGGAAAAUACCCAAAUGGCAGAGUGUGUGACCCCACCUUCCCUGCCACUGGAAGCCAGGUGGGCAACACCUGUUAGAGCUUCUGGCCCCACAGCCCACUUCUGUUUGAGCACAGUUAGAGGGUGCAGCUUCCUGUUUUACCAAGGAACACCUGGAUGACAGAGCACAUGACCCCACCCGACUCUGCCACUGGAAACCAGAAGACCAAAUCUCCAGGAUUGUGAUUCCAUCAGAGAAUGUUUAGAACAUAUGCAUGGGCAAAGACUUCAUGACUGAAAC